rnacentral:rRNA from 1 species
GGAAUCCUACGGGGGGCAGCAGUGAGGAAUAUUGGUCAAUGGACGAGAGUCUGAACCAGCCACGUAGCGUGAAGGAUGACUGCCCUAUGGGUUGUAAACUUCUUUUAUAAAGGAAUAAAACGAGGCACGUGUGCCUUUUUGCAUGUACUUUAUGAAUAAGGAUCGGCUAACUCCGUGCUAGCAGCCGCGGUAAUACGGAGGAUCCGAGCGUUAUCCGGAUUUAUUGGGUUUAAAGGGAGCGUAGAUGGGUUGUUAAGUCAGUUGUGAAAGUUUGCGUCUCAACCGUAAAAUUGCAAU